UAGGUAUAAUUGGAGUUCGAUGCAUGUACUACACAGUAGACAUUAUAAGACAUUUUGAAACCGUAGACGUAGACAUGAAUCCUCAAUAGUCUUUAUCGUCGCGACAUACUUCAGAAAAGUCGUAAAAGAUUGUUUUUUCCGACCAAGAUCAAAUCACCGGAAGUAUACAUGUAUUCAAACUAAAUCUCGAAUAAUUGUAAGUGGGAGGAGGUAAAG